rnacentral:tRNA from 1 species
GGGGAUGUAGCUCAGAUGGUAGAGCGCUCGCUUAGCAUGCGAGAAGUACGGGGAUCGAUACCUCGCAUCUCCA